rnacentral:rRNA from 1 species
GACGAACGCUGGCGGCGUGCUUAACACAUGCAAGUCGAACGGAAAGGCCCUGCUUUUGUGGGGUGCUCGAGUGGCGAACGGGUGAGUAACACGUGAGUAACCUGCCCUUGACUUUGGGAUAACUUCAGGAAACUGGGGCUAAUACCGGAUAGGAGCUCCUGCUGCAUGGUGGUGGUUGGAAAGUUUCGGCGGUUGGGGAUGGACUCGCGGCUUAUCAGCUUGUUGGUGGGGUAGUGGCUUACCAAGGCUUUGACGGGUAGCCGGCCUGAGAGGGUGACCGGGCACAUUGGGACUGAGAUACGGCCCAGACUCCUACGGGAGGCAGCAGUGGGGAAUAUUGCACAAUGGGCGGAAGCCUGAUGCAGCAACGCCGCGUGCGGGAUGACGGCCUUCGGGUUGUAAACCGCUUUCGCCUGUGACGAAGCGUGAGUGACGGUAAUGGGUAAAGAAGCACCGGCUAACUACGUG